UUUAUCAACGCGCUGUAGUGCCUUAGAAUCCAAAGGGGGCCUAAGCAGGGGGUGGCACAAGUAAUUAUUCGCUCUACUAUUGACUUUAAGAGGGACCCAUGGCCUAAGGUUUCGGACAAUGCAAAGGACCUUGUAAAGAAAAUGCUUAAUCCUGAUCCAAAGUAGCGUUUUACAGUACAAGAAGUGCUUGAACAUCCAUGGCUACAAAAUGCCAAGAAAGCACCCAAUGUUCCGUUGGGUGAGAUUGUGAAAGCUAGGAUCAAACAAUUUUCUAUAAUGAACAAGCUGAAGAAGAGAGCUCUAAGGGUAAUAAUCCACUUGAUAUA